GCGGAUGUAGCUCAGUUGGUUAGAGCGCCUGGUUGUGGUUCAGGAGGUCGUGGGUUCAAUUCCCAUCAUUCGCCCCA
rnacentral:tRNA from 1 species